rnacentral:rRNA from 1 species
AGUGAACGCUGGCGGUAGGCCUAACACAUGCAAGUCGAACGGCAGCACAGUAAGAGCUUGCUCUUACGGGUGGCGCGUGUCGGACGGGUGAGGAAUACUUCGGAAUCUACUUUUUCGUGGGGGAUAACGUAGGGAAACUUACGCUAAUACCGCAUACGACCUACGGGUGAAAGCAGGGGAUCUUCGGACCUUGCGCGAUUGAAUGAGCCUAUGUCGGAUUAGCUAGUUGGCGGGGUAAAGGCCCACCAAGGCGACGAUCCGUAACUGGUAUGAGGGCGUGGAUAGCUAGCUUGGAACUGAGAAACGGCCCAGACUCCUACGGGAGGACGCAGUGGGGACUAUUGCACGAUGGAGGCAAGCCUGAUACUGCAAUACCGGGUGAAUGAAGAACGAGCUCGGGUUGGAGAGCCAUUUAGUUGGGAAAGAAAAGCAGCACGUUAAUCCGCGGCUAUACUGACGGUACCCAAAGAAUAAGCACCGGCUAACUUCGUG